rnacentral:rRNA from 1 species
CCUACUGUGGCUGCAGUGGGGAAUAUUGCACAAUGGGGGAAACCCUGAUGCAGCGACGCCGCGUGAGUGUAGAAGUAAUUCGUUAUGUAAAGCUCUAUCAGCAGGGAAGAAAAUGACGGUACCUGAGUAAGAAGCCCCUGCUCACUACGUGCCAGCAGCCGCGGUAUUACGUAGGGGGCAAGCGUGAUCCGGAUUUAUGGGGUGUAAAGGGAGCGUAGACGGCAGUGCAAGUCUGGAGUGAAAGGCGGGGGCUCAACCCCCGGACUGCUCUGGAAACUGUACGGCUGGAGUGUAGGAGAGGUAAGUGGAAUUCGUAGUGUAGCGGUGAAAUGCGUAGAUAUUAGGAGGAACCCCAGUGGCGAAGGCUGCUUACUGGACUGUAACUGACGUUGAGGCUCGAAAGCGUGGGGAGCAAACAGGAUUAGAUACCCGAGUAGUC